AUUUCAUCAGGGCAAAGAAAUGAGAAAUAUCAGCCUUAAUGCUCACUAUAUCGUGUUGUUCAAGUCACCAAGAGAUAAACAGCAAAUUUCUAUGCUUGCCAGACAAGUAAAUCCCGGGAAAGUACAAGAGUUUAUGAGGAGUUAUGAAGAUGCUACGAGCCGACCUCACGAGUAUUUGAUGUUGGAUUUAAAGGCAAGAACAGACGAUCAACAACGACUCAAGACAACCGUACUUCCCGGCGAGAUUGCAAAGUUUUUACACAAACAGUCGUAUCGUCAACUACCACUUGUAAACGCCAUGUAUGAUGCCGAACAGAGAAUGAAAGAAAUCAUGGAUGCACCACAGCUUAGUGCCGUGGAAAAAAGCAAGCUUUACUCUGAUCAACUAAAUCGGUUUCUCACAUUCAAAAAUAGGAUGGAUGUCCCGGCUCAAGCCCCUGUUCAAACAACUCCACCAGUGCCUGCUACUCCUAAACCUAAUUUCUUUACGCCACCAUCAACAGAACAGGAACGGCCAAAACUCAAGCGCAACUUUUUUCACAAUUUGGUAGAUUCUGCUGAUUGGAAAGAAAGUGACUUGGCUAUGAUGAAACCGAACGAAAGAGAGCGGUAUGAACGUUUUAUAUUGAGCGACAGACCAAAUAUAUAUUCCAAUGAAACCCGAGCAAGUAGCAAAGUUAUCCCCUCAAGACAGACAAGAGUAUGAGAACUCUUUAAAAAUAACAAAAACACCUAAACGUUACGCUCUUAGAAGUAGACCGUACUAAAUUUUGUAAAACGUUUUGAAGAAAUAAAUGUAUUUUAAAACUGAAAUCGUGUGUAAAUUUUUGCCCGUAAAGCCUCGCGCCCGAAGUAAACCAAUAUUAAUCCCUCUAUUGUAUCACACACGUGGAGGGACGCU